rnacentral:rRNA from 1 species
UACAGAGGUCUCAAGCGUUGUUCGGAUUCAUUGGGCGUAAAGGGUGCGUAGGUGGCGCCGUAAGUCAGGUGUGAAAUUUCGGAGCUUAACUCCGAAACUGCAUUUGAUACUGCGGUGCUUGAGGACUGGGAGAGGAGAGCUGGAAGUUCACGGUGUAGCAGUGAAAUGCGUAGAUAUCGUGAGGAAGACCAGUGGCGAAGGCGGGUCUCUGGACAGUUCCUGACACUGGAGGCAGCGAAGGCGUAGGGAGCAAACGGG